rnacentral:tRNA from 1 species
GCUGCGGUGGUCUAACGGUUAUGAUCUUCGGUUGUGGUCCGAUGGAACCGGGUUCGACUCCCGGCCGCGGCC